UGGGGAAUAUUGCACAAUGGGCGCAAGCCUGAUGCAGCCAUGCCGCGUGUGUGAAGAAGGCCUUCGGGUUGUAAAGCACUUUCAGCGGGGAGGAAGGCGAUAAGGUUAAUAACCUUGUCGAUUGACGUUACCCGCAGAAGAAGCACCGGCUAACUCCGUGCCAGCAGCCGCGGUAAUACGGAGGGUGCAAGCGUUAAUCGGAAUUACUGGGCGUAAAGCGCACGCAGGCGGUCUGUCAAGUCGGAUGUGAAAUCCCCGGGCUUAACCUGGGAACUGCAUUCGAAACUGGCAGGCUAGAGUCUUGUAGAGGGGGGUAGAAUUACAGGUGUAGCGGUGAAAUGCGUAGAGAUCUGGAGGAAUACCGGUGGCGAAGGCGGCCCCCUGGACAAAGACUGACGCUCAGGUGCGAAAGCGUGGGGAGCAAACAGG
rnacentral:rRNA from 1 species